UACUCGAGAGAGUAGCAAUCACAUAUGGUAAUGACAUAUGAUUGAAACCUCUACGAGUGGU
rnacentral:pre_miRNA from 1 species